rnacentral:rRNA from 1 species
UACGUAGGGUGCGAGCGUUGUCCGGAAUUAUUGGGCGUAAAGAGCUCGUAGGCGGUGUGUCACGUCGGCCGUGAAAACCUGCAGCUUAACUGUGGGCGUGCGGUCGAUACGGGAAUCACUGGAGUUCGGAAGGGGAGACUGGAAUUCCUGGUGUAGCGGUGAAAUGCGCAGAUAUCAGGAGGAACACCGGUGGCGAAGGCGGGUCUCUGGGCCGAUACUGACGCUGAGGAGCGAAAGCGUGGGGAGCAAACAGG